rnacentral:lncRNA from 1 species
CUCAUAGCAAUGGGCUUGCGCCCCAGCUGCUUCCUGCACCCUAGUUGCAUCAUACACCCCCCUAUCUUUUCUUUUUAUUUCUUUUUUUCCCUUUAUUUUUUAUUACUUGUUUUUUAAUAUUCUUUCUAAUAAAACCUUUAUCACAUUUUACAUGGAAAAAUACCUUUAAAAAUCUUAACACUUAGACUAAUUAGGUUCAGUUGCAUUCUUUACCAUUUAAUCCAUUUUGAAAAAUACCAAAAAAAACACGGUGUAGCGUUA